UUGUAAGAUUGGUCACAGAUUUGUUCAAGCCUCCCUGCCUGAUUCUUAGUGAUCAGAUAUCCGGAUCCAUUUUCGGAUUCCAUAAAAAAAUUUAUGUUAUUUAUUUUAAAGCCUUUGAUUUAUUUUUAGGCUUGAUUAUUAUGAAUAAAUAAAUAAAUAAACUAAAGGAAGAGGAAGAAGGCGGAGACCCUCCUCCUCCCGUCAUGGUGGCUGGGUUCCA
rnacentral:lncRNA from 1 species